ensembl:snRNA U6 U6 spliceosomal RNA
GUGCUCACUUCUGCAGCACAUAUACUAAAAUUGGAAUGAUACAGAGAAGAUUAGCAUUGCCCCUGUGCAAAAAUGAUACUCAAAUUAGUGAAGCGUUCCGUAUCUUU